CGUUUGGGGGGGCUUACCAUGUCAAGUCGAACGAUGAACCACUUCGGUGGGGAUUAGUGGCGAACGGGUGAGUAACACGUGGGCAAUCUGCCCUGCACUCUGGGACAAGCCCUGGAAACGGGGUCUAAUACCGGAUACUGACCAUCACGGGCAUCCGUGGUGUUCGAAAGCUCCGGCGGUGCAGGAUGAGCCCGCGGCCUAUCAGCUAGUUGGUGAGGUAAUGGCUCACCAAGGCGACGACGGGUAGCCGGCCUGAGAGGGCGACCGGCCACACUGGGACUGAGACACGGCCCAGACUCCUACGGGAGGCAGCAGUGGGGAAUAUUGCACAAUGGGCGAAAGCCUGAUGCAGCGACGCCGCGUGAGGGAUGACGGCCUUCGGGUUGUAAACCUCUUUCAGCAGGGAAGAAGCGAAAGUGACGGUACCUGCAGAAGAAGCGCCGGCUAACUACGUGCCAGCAGCCGCGGUAAUACGUAGGGCGCAAGCGUUGUCCGGAAUUAUUGGGCGUAAAGAGCUCGUAGGCGGCUUGUCACGUCGGUUGUGAAAGCCCGGGGCUUAACCCCGGGUCUGCAGUCGAUACGGGCAGGCUAGAGUUCGGUAGGGGAGAUCGGAAUUCCUGGUGUAGCGGUGAAAUGCGCAGAUAUCAGGAGGAACACCGGUGGCGAAGGCGGAUCUCUGGGCCGAUACUGACGCUGAGGAGCGAAAGCGUGGGGAGCGAACAGGAUUAGAUACCCUGGUAGUCCACGCCGUAAACGGUGGGCACUAGGUGUGGGCAACAUUCCACGUUGUCCGUGCCGCAGCUAACGCAUUAAGUGCCCCGCCUGGGGAGUACGGCCGCAAGCUAAAACUCAAAGGAAUUGACGGGGGCCGCACAGCGGCGGAACAUGUGGCUUAAUUCGACGCAACGCGAGAACCUUAC
rnacentral:rRNA from 1 species